GACAGAGGGUGCAAACGUUGUUCGGAAUUACUGGGCGUAAAGCGCGUGUAGGCGGCUCUGUAAGUCGGGUGUGAAAUCCCACGGCUCAACCGUGGAAGUGCACUCGAAACUACAGGGCUAGAGUCCUGGAGAGGAAGGUGGAAUGCUUGGUGUAGAGGUGAAAUUCGUAGAUAUCAAGCGGAACACCGGUGGCGAAGGCGGCCUUCUGGACAGUGACUGACGCUGAGACGCGAAAGCGUGGGGAUCAAACAGG
rnacentral:rRNA from 1 species